GCGUAAUGAUGAUGAUGUUGUAUAGAACCGACAAAUUCAUGAAAGGAAUACAAACCUCCUACUCAUACUGA
rfam:Beta vulgaris subsp. vulgaris Bvchr7.sca001.con0160.1, whole genome shotgun sequence.